UCGGAUUGUAGUCUGCAACCCGACUACAUGAAGCCGGAAUCGCUAGUAAUCGCGGAUCAGAAUGCCGCGGUGAAUACGUUCCCGGGUCUUGUACACACCGCCCGUCACACCAUGGGAGCCGGUAAUGCCCGAAGUCUGUGGCCCAACCGAGAGGGGGGAGCAGCCGAAGGCAGGCCCGGUGACUGGGGUGAAGUCGUAACAAGGUAAC
rnacentral:rRNA from 1 species